AGGAGUAGAUACUUCCGGAGGUGGAAAUGAUGGUGGUGAAACGGCAGGCUCGUGUAGUGGAGGAGGUGGAGGGGGAGAGAUCUCAGGUAGUGGCGGUGGUGGUGGGUUUAAUGGCGGGUCAGGUGAAGAGGGAGUAGGAGGAGGAGAUGUUUCCGGUGGAGGGAACGAUGGUGGUGAAAUGGGAGGCUGUGGAGGGGGAGAGGUGUCAGGUGAUGGUGGUGGUGGAGGGUCAGCAGGUAACGUGGGAGUAGGAGGAGGAGCUCCGGUAGGUGGAGGUGGCGAGGAAGAAUCUUCUGGUGGUGGAGAUGAUAAAGGAGCCGCCGGGGGAGGAGUAGACUGAGGUGGAGGGUUUGGGAUCUCCGGUGAAUUGCCAUCAAUGGGCUCUCUCGUAGGAGAAACAGCAUUACCACCGGGAGACAAAGGUGGAGACGGUGGCACCUCCGCCGUAGGAGGCUGCACCGGUGUAGCCAUCUAAAUCAAAAGACCCAAUUUUUAACAAAUUUUCACCGAAAAAUCCAGAGCUUGAGGACGACAGUAACCGUAAAGCACUAAACUUUACCAAACUCUGUUACUACUAUUACUCGAAACGAAGACAGAGGAACCGUAAAGCACCAAACUUUACCCAACACUGUUCCUAAACUACUCGAAACGAAGCAGACCCAGAUCGUGAAAUGAACUUCCGAGCAGAACCCAGAUCACUGAAUCCAAAAUCUCAGAUUACCUGACUUGGUGAUAGACUUAAUGCAAACAAAACUUCAGAUCUCUCUGUAAAAGAUUUUCCUUGCAACACCCAGAAAAAGAAAAUUAUAUGCUAGUCUUAGCUAAUGGCCAAGUAAGCAACUUGUCUCCUUCUUUUUCUCACCAGUUGAGAUUGCGUCUGCGCAGCAUACAAGAUUUGGUGGUGUGCCUGAAGCCUUCAAAUUAUCAAGGCUGUUUGUGUGGAAGAAAAGAAGUAACUAAACAAAAUUCAAAGGCAGAUGAAUGGAUGAAUCAAAACUGUAUUUGUGUGUAUCAUAAUAUCAAACAAGUCAUCAGAACGAAAAGAAAAUUCAUAUGGGAAGGAACUUAAGACAAAUUAAUUAAUAUAUUUGUAUGCAUCAUAAAGGAAAAAAAGAAUGCUUUAUUGUAACGUCUAAUCAACGGUCAACAUGAAAUCUUAGCUUUAUUUUUAUUUUAUUUCUUGCUUGUUUUUGCAAAAAGAAGAUCGCUAAUUGGCAAUUACCUACUAUAUUUUUUUGAUAAUUGGUUUGCAAACAAAUAAUUAAUUACUAUACUGAAAUCUUGUUUUAGUUAGGAAAGUCAUUACUAUAUAUGGAAAUCUAAAGUUUCUUCACUCAUUUCAUUUUUAACCAUUUUUUUUUUAUUUUUCUCGUAUUAUUAAAAAAGUAUUUACCAAAUUAAAAAUAUAUAUUUUUGUUAUGUGUUAAUAUUACAAAAUCAGUUACGAACAAACAGCCUUAUUUGAAAUUAUUUUAACGUAAGAAAAAAACUUAAACUGCAGUGAAAUGUGUGAAAUUUUACAACCAUUGCCUAAGUACUAUUGUUUCAUAAUUAAAAAUUUGACAUAAACUAUUGGAUUUAAAGUGUAAUUAUUUGUAUAUUUAGUUCAUAAUAUAUGUACGAUUGGUGCUGAAAAUUAUGUAAAAUCCUGAAAACAGUAGUUCACUCGUUGCUUGACGUUAAAUUUCAUGAAAGGGACGUUGAGAACUUUGGGACCAUUUUGUCCAUAUCAGUUACAUGCCAAUAUAAAAAAGAAAAAAAGGAAAAAAGUCACAAUGUGGAACCCAAUUGUCAAGAUCAGUUACAUGCCUUUAAUAUUAUGUUCUUUUGUUUUUUGUUAUGUUUUAUUACCACUUUUUUUUUAUAUUUUUUUUUAAUUUUAUAUUAUUGAAAGAUAUUAAAAAAUCACAUUAAAUAUAUAAUAAAAACAUUUAUAUUUUUUCUUAUAUGUUAUAUUUGAAUUUUUCAAAACGUCUAUAUAUUAUUAGAAAUUUGAAUAUUCCCACUCUGAAAAUUUUGUGAUCAAUAGAUUAUUUUUUUGUUAUAAUAAGUUACAAAUGAUCAUAAAAUAUAACGCAUAUGAAUUUUUAUUUAAUGAAUAUUCAAACUAAAUAAUAUAUAUAUAUAUAUAUAUAUAAACACUAAUGAUUUAAAGCAACAAGAUUGGCUGAUCAAUUUAGUCGUCCAGUUGAAAUCUUUCAAAAGUAUGUGAAAAACUAAAGUCAAAGUAAAUAUGGAUUUAGAAUAGUAGUUAUAUUUUACUAACCAAAUACCGAAAAAAACCGGACCGAACCGAAACCAAUCCGAUAUCCGGAUUAAUCCAAAUGAAGCCAAACUAUUGUUUCAUUUUCCAAAAUAUAAUAAAAAUAAUAACUUAAUCCCGCGCAAGGCGCGGGUCUUAUCCUAGUAGAUUAUUAUUAUUGUCACCAUAAGUGAUCUUUAUAUGCAUUUUUCAUCAAACUUCAUCGUCAUCUUAUUACUUUUUUUUGGUUUUACUAUGUUGUACUUUUUUCUAAUUCAUUUUUAUAGUUUAAUAAAAUAUAAAAUUAGUACAUAAUAAAGUGUAUGAUAUUGUCAUUAACUCGAUUGGCCUUAUUUAACUUUCACUUUUAUUUUUCUUUCUAAUUCUUACUUUGGAUCAGGUGUGGUUUAAAUUUUUUAGGUAUGAUUAUUUUCUCUAGACCUAAGUAGAAAGUUUAUAACAAUUCACCGAUGGACCAUAAUUAUAAAUACAAAUAUUAACUGAAAUUUAUGUGUGAAAACGAAUUCUUAAUUGUAAAAUAAAUCUAACACAACAAUCCUAAAACUAUAAUAAAAUGAUUUUAUUAUUUUUAUGUUUUUUUUUAUGAAAUUAAAUCAUCAAACAAAAUUCGUUGCAACACAUGGACUCAUAUCUUGUUAUCAAUAAAACACACUCUUAAUAUUAAGUCAUCAAUUUAUAUAUAUUUUAGAUAUCUUCUUAUAUACGUUAACGAUUUUCAGAUCCAUCAAUUGGUUCAUCGUACUUCAUGUUAAAUGGGUUGGUUCAUUUGUACUUCCUGCUAAAUCAUGAACCACUUUUGACACAAAGUGUUCUUCUUUAAAUCGGAAUUUCUAAAGGUCGGCGUGGAGAGGUUAUGGGGUUCGGAAUCCACUUUAUUAUACGAAAUUGGACGAAAUAAACUGCAUAAUACUCAAGGGAAAAGUAGUAGAUCAUUACAACAACUUAUAUUGGAAAGCAGUGGAAGAUUAUACCAUAAGUUAAGACAAGAUUAAACAAAGAUUUACAAUAUUACAGCCUUUGUCUUAGUCACCUAUAUCUUCAUCUGUCUUUCUGAGAAAAAGAUUUGAACCCGUAAGUUCUUUUUACGAUUCUUGAUCAAUAACACCACAUGAAUGCCAUAAGCACAGAAGAUAAGUUUUCAUUUCUGUUUCUUUCCUCCAGCUAUUUGACAUCUACAAUGUCAGAAGAUCUUCAUGGCGCCAGAAGCUUCCAAAACCGAACUCUUUGCUCAUCGACAACAUUCCCUCAGUGACUUCAAUGCAAUUAGAUCUUGAUGAGCCUUCUUCAAACACAACCCCAUUUCCAUACCAACGCUCCUCUUUGACGACAUCCUCCUCCGUUCUUGGUUGCAAGGUUCUCCCACAUCUUCUCUUCGCAAACUUCUUAAUCUUCUGGCCAAGUUUACAAGGGACCUUGAAGAAGACGAAGGUAGUGACUUGUAACACAAGGCAUUGGCAGCAGCAUGAAAGGACACCACAGUCUUCUUCCAUUACUCUUGUUACGCACAAAACUUCAAGGACUACAAAUGUAAUACAUAGACUGGUGUGUGAAUUUCACAAGACAUGUAUACCGGCAUGUUUAGGAAUCUUGGACGGCAAAAGAACUGUAGCUGUUCAAAUCCUUGUUACCAUUGAUACUAUUCCCCAACAUGAAUGUGGUUCAUAUAAGGGCAAAUAGGUCUAUUCUCAUCUUUCUAUAUUUACACACGCCAAUGAAAAGUUUGGUGAUGACAUAAAGAGAAGAGAACCUUGUUGAUUUAUUAUUAGCAGAAGAGUGGGCAUGAGUUACAUCACAGAAGAGAAGAUAGAUGCAGAGGAGGUGACUUCUCAUGUAAGAAGAUGAAACCACUCACUAUCCUGUUCUCAUCUCUUCUUCCAAAAGAUUUGGACUAGACGAACCAGAGGACUUGCAUUGAGGUUCUAAACUCAUAUUAACCUUUCCUCUCAGUGUUUAUGUGAUUCCGUGGUAAUCAAGAAAGGUUCUGCUUAGAGAUCUCAUUUCUUGGCCAAAAUCAAAAUCUCCAAUGAGUUUUGUUUCUGAUAUAUUAUUUACACGUUUUCGUCUCUGCUAUUGUAAAUAUUGUGAGUGAAAAAAUCUGUACUGUAGUUUUGGCUGCCAAAAGCCAUUCUUCUAAACAAUCUGAUCUCUGCAGACUGCUCAGCUGAGUCGAUGACCUCGCUUUGGCCUAGUCUCAUCCCGUUGGUCAAGUCUUCCUCAGCUAGACUGUCGAAAGCUCUCACAAUCUGACUCAUCCGAGGUCUCUUUGCAGCUGAGUGGCGAAUACAAGCUGCAGCUGCUUCGAUCAUUCUAAACAUUUCAGCGCCAACGUAGUUUCUUCCCAGCUUGGGGUCUACUAAAGCUUCAAACUCCUCGGUUUCUACGGCAUGACUAAGCAAAGGACGAGCCUGAAAACAUUCAACACAAAAACACAUUGGACUAAAAGAAAAGAGUUCCAUUCUCAAAAAUGUUUAUUUUAUGCCAUACCCAUUCAACAAGGCUCUCAUCUCCCAAGGGUUGUGAUGUAUCAACAGGCUUACGUCCAGUGACUAACUCAAGUAGAACAACACCAAAGGAGAAGACAUCUGAUUUUUCAGUUAAUUUGCCACUUGAUGCAUAUUCAGGAGCCAUGUAGCUGGAAAUAAUUAACCACUACUUGUAUUAGAUGCAGAGAUUGCAACAUUACAUACAGAGAACUAUUAUGAGAACUUAACCAACACCUACCCGAACGUUCCCAUAACACGAGUUGUGAUAUGCGUGUUACAAUCUAGAGCUAGCUUUGCAAGACCAAAGUCAGAAACCUAAAGAAUCAAGAGAUCAAAUGUUACUAAAACUCAUGAUCAUAAACAUCAGCAGCCUUACAAAUUCAGAAGAGAAGAUGAAUAUGAAUAUGUAUUAUACCAGAGGGUGAAAGUUAUUAUCUAAAAGAAUGUUGGAUGACUUGAUGUCCCUGUGUAUGAUACGAGGAUGACCUGCCAUUCACAUAAUUAGUUUAGCCGCCAAGAACCAUAAGAAGAUAGUACCAUCAGAUAAACACAGAAACCUACAAUCUUCAUGGAGAUAAGCUAGUCCACGAGCCGCACCAGCAGCGAUUUUAACACGCGUUGCCCAGUCCAGACCCGGUGUUCCUGCAGCUAAAAGACCAGAAGAAACAUAGUUUUUAAGUAACAGUAGUUUUGUCUUCUAUGAAUCUGUGAGUCUUAAAUUCUAGCUUACCAUGAAGGUGGAAGUAAAGGUUGUUGUUAGGAACAUAAUCAUAGAUAAGCAACCUCCUGUUCUCGGAGAUACAGUAUCCAACCAAAGAAAGCAAAUGCCGGUGAUGAACUCUGCUUAUGGUCUCAACCUCAGCUUUGAACUCUCGAUCGCCUUGUCCUCCACCUAUUUUUAACUGUUUAACAGCCACCACUCUUCCAUCUGGUAAAGCCCCUUUAUAUACACAACCAAACCCGCCUUCACCCAGUAGAUUUUCAUCUGAGAAUUCAUUUGUUGCUUUGACGAGUUCUUCGUAUGAGAACAGUUCCUUUGAGUGACCAAAGCCACCAGGUUCUGGUUGUGAAAAGAAUGUCCGGUUGCUAGAACGGUUUCCCACUAGCGGGGCAGACGAGUUUGUCUUGGAAGGCGUUGAAUCUGAACAACAGAGACUACUGAUAAACAAGUGCGCAUAGAAAUGUCCAUAAACAUAAACUUCAAGUUGAGAUAAGAACCAUCAAUACAUUACUAAGGAGAGUUCUUUCAGCCAUGCUUGCUAAGUUAAUGUGAGAAAGAGAAUUAAGGGUUAGCUGUUAAAAUGUACCUGAUCUUGGGGAGGAAACUAUAGGAGAUGGCAUAACAUAGCCACCUCCAAUGGAAGAAGGCCUCUUUUUCUGUCUCUUCACGCACCAGACAAUGACUCCAAUAAGACCAAGGAGCACAAGGACCAAACCAAUACUCACACCCACGAGAGCUACUGUACUAAAACCUGAGUUGCUGGAAUUGUUUGUCACGGGAGGAGUAAGGUUGUUUUGUUGAGGUGGAUUGCCUGAGUCUGGUACAGAUUUUUGAGGAGGAGGAGAUGGAACUAAUGGUGGUGAGGGUGAUGAAGAAGAGUUAGAAGGUAAGGGAGCUGGACUUGGUUUGGAAGGUGGGUGGAUUUUCUCUGGUGGAGGAGGACGUUUAGAAUCUGGAGGAGGAGGUUGCUGAGGAUGUUCUGGAUCCCGUGGAGGAGGAGGAGGAGAGAGAGCAGGACGUUGUGAGCCUGGUGGGGAGGGGGGAGGACGUGGAGGAGGAAGUGAUGGGGGAGGUGGAGAUGAAUGUAACGGUGGGACUAACGGAGGUGGGUUUGUAGGUGGGUCUGAAGCAGGUGGUGGAGGAGAGCUUUUGGGUGGCGGAAAUAACGGUGGUGAAAUGGCAGGCCGAUCAGGUGAUGAUGGUGGAGGAGGAGAGCUCUCAGGUAAUGAUGGUGGUGGAGGAGAGCUCUCAGGUGAUGAUGGUGGUGGAGGAGUAGAUACUUCCGGAGGUGGAAAUGAUGGUGGUGAAACGGCAGGCUCGUGUAGUGGAGGAGGUGGAGGGGGAGAGAUCUCAGGUAGUGGCGGUGGUGGUGGGUUUAAUGGCGGGUCAGGUGAAGAGGGAGUAGGAGGAGGAGAUGUUUCCGGUGGAGGGAACGAUGGUGGUGAAAUGGGAGGCUGUGGAGGGGGAGAGGUGUCAGGUGAUGGUGGUGGUGGAGGGUCAGCAGGUAACGUGGGAGUAGGAGGAGGAGCUCCGGUAGGUGGAGGUGGCGAGGAAGAAUCUUCUGGUGGUGGAGAUGAUAAAGGAGCCGCCGGAGGAGGAGUAGACUGAGGUGGAGGGUUUGGGAUCUCCGGUGAAUU
rnacentral:lncRNA from 1 species